CACCCUUGUCUUUUGCGUACUUCUUGUUUCCUUGGUGGGUUCGCCCACCACUAGGACAAACAUAAACCUUUUGUAAUUGCAAUCAGCGUCAGUAACAAAUUAAUAAUUACAACUUUCAACAACGGAUCUCUUGGUUCUGGCAUCGAUGAAGAACGCAGCGAAAUGCGAUAAGUAGUGUGAAUUGCAGAAUUCAGUGAAUCAUCGAAUCUUUGAACGCACAUUGCGCCCUUUGGUAUUCCAAAGGGCAUGCCUGUUCGAGCGUCAUUUGUACCCUCAAGCUUUGCUUGGUGUUGGGCGUCUUGUCUCUAGCUUUGCUGGAGACUCGCCUUAAAGUAAUUGGCAGCCGGCCUACUGGUUUCGGAGCGCAGCACAAGUCGCACUCUCUAUCANCAAAGGUCUAGCAUCCAUUAAGCCUUUUUUCAACUUUUGACCU
rnacentral:rRNA from 1 species